rnacentral:lncRNA from 1 species
CAGCCUCGCGUCCCCGGGCGCCGCCCCCGUGUCCCGCCCGCGCCACGCUCCGCCCCGGUCGCCGCUCGUCCCGCGUGGGAGCCGACCUGGCUCAGCCUGAUUUACGGCUCUGCUGAAAACCGCUCGCGCGGCUCCCGCAGCAUCAGCACCGGCGGCUGCAGCGGCAGCAACAAGUCGGAGAAGUUGUCACAUUCAACCAUUUCCUGGAAGCGGCGGCCGAGAAGGAGGUUCAAGGAAAAGCAAGGCUCCAGGACUUUAUUGAGAACCUG